GUUGGCCAAGGCUCUAAAUAGCAAUGGAGUGACCAGGGUUCGAGCCUUGGUGACUUUGCUGAUUCUUUUAUUUGAAAUUCAGCCACGGCCCACGUGAUGGUGAUGUUCUGAUGUUGAUGUUGCAUCUUGCAUGUUACUGAUCACAUGUGAGAAGGGGUGGGAAAGGGUGGUGUUGACUACUUGACUUUGCAUGUGGAGAAAGGUAGAGUGGGAACUGGGAAGAGACGGAAGAUUCCAGAAAAAAUACCCAAAAUUUCUCAAAAUAUCACCAAUAUCGCGAUAUUUCUGGAAAUUUCCAAAAUAUCCGUCGAAAUCUAUACGGAACAUCGUGAUUUUUUAGUCCUUGAGUGUCGCAAUCGAGGAGAGAGAGGCGUCUUGCUCUUUGCUGCUUGUUCGUCGUUGUUCGCCGCCCUCUGGGCCUCUCGACGUAUUGGGUCCAGUAUUUCACGACGGUGGGGAACGGCGUCAAGAGCUGCUUGUAGAUUGGCGCCUCCUCCGAGAUCAGCAAACGGCGGGCCUGAUUGGCAUGGUGGCUGGCCAUUGUAUUUGGGAUUGUGUUGAGGUAUAGGUUGGUUCAGAAAUUUCUACUUUGUUGGUGAGGAGGUCGAAGAAAUUAAUUGAGAGAAUCAUGGUCAUAGGAUUGAGAAACCGGGUAAUCUGUGAAACCUGAAGGAAGAGUCUGUUCCGACAAAAUAAAAUUCAUGGAUGUACCCACAGCCACUUUCCACGGAUCAUAAUAAGAGGAGUAGAGAGAGUGAGACUUUUGAAAGAGAACAGUGGGAGCUUGCUGGCGAAGCAGAUAGGAUUAGAUAAAUCUCAAAUACGAUCAACAAACAGACGCAUUCUUUCUCAGACCCCCAAUUUUUGUGUAUAUUCGCAGUAGCAGCUAGCCGAGUUAUUUGAUAAAAGAAGACAUGAAUUCGGAGCAUGCUAGUUCCGGAGGCGAAAGAUUGAACAUGCUAGGUUGCAGGUUUAUAAUGCAGUAACAACAAUCUUUUGCACAAAGCUAUGGUGUAUUUUCUUGGGAUGCAACUUCUGAUCUUAAGUUUAUAAUGCAGCAACAAUCUUUUGCACGAAGAUUUGGUGUAUUUUCAGUGAGCCUGGUACGCAGCACAUGGAAGGUCUCUUAAAACACAUCUACGAGCUGUACAUUGAUUAUGUCCUGAAGAACCCCUUCUAUGAGAUGGAGGUUCCUAUCCGGUGCGAGCUCUUUGAUAUAAACCUAACACAGGCAAUAGAAAAGGAUCGUGUUGCCUUGUUGGCCCGAUAAUCUGCAUAUAGACAUGUAUCUUACCUACUUGUUGCUUGAUCUAUGUUUCUUUAGAUGUAUACCUUCUGAGCAAUCUCAUCUUACAUUCGUGUGAGAUACAUGUUGUUUGACUUGAGCUGACUAUA